rnacentral:lncRNA from 1 species
CUUAGAACUUGGAUCAUAAUCUUGAUACUGCUAAGAAGUAUUUUAAAUUCAUUAAUUUCACUUUUUUAUUCUCUUAUCAUAGCAUCUAUUUAUACUUUCACUAUGUAUGCAUCUGUUACAAUUUAUCAACUGAAUAAUAAUUUAUCUUGGCCAAAUGGCUGCACGAUAAAACUGUCACAUACCAUAUUGGAGGACUGGGUGAAAUUCUGUGUCCUACACCUCCAAUUUUUCAGGAAGGAUCUGAUUCUGAUUCAUUUGAACCUCCAUCUUUCAAUCUUUUGGAUAUCCCAUCAUUCAGAAGAUUGAAAGAACAGGGCUGAUCCCAUCGUGGAUGCUGAUCAGCCCUGUUAUGGACUCUAUAAGUGGCCACCAACAAAUAUAUUCUAUGUGCUUCAGCAGCAUAAUUCAAAAUAAUAUAAUCUAAAUAAUUUACUUUUUUUAUAAUUUAUGCAUAUUCUGUAAUUAAAUAAUUCAAUCAAUAAUUUAAUUUCUUACAAAGAUCAGUUACUUUAUAUACAAAC